rnacentral:rRNA from 1 species
GAUGAACGCUGGCGGCGUGCCUAAUACAUGCAAGUCGAGCGAACAGACGAGGAGCUUGCUUCUCUGACGUUAGCGGCGGACGGGUGAGUAACACGUGGAUAACCUACCUAUAAGACUGGGAUAACUUCGGGAAACCGGAGCUAAUACCGGAUAAUAUAUUGAACCGCAUGGUUCAAUAGUGAAAGACGGUUUUGCUGUCACUUAUAGAUGGAUCCGCGCCGCAUUAGCUAGUUGGUAAGGUAACGGCUUACCAAGGCAACGAUGCGUAGCCGACCUGAGAGGGUGAUCGGCCACACUGGAACUGAGACACGGUCCAGACUCCUACGGGAGGCAGCAGUAGGGAAUCUUCCGCAAUGGGCGAAAGCCUGACGGAGCAACGCCGCGUGAGUGAUGAAGGUCUUCGGAUCGUAAAACUCUGUUAUUAGGGAAGAACAUAUGUGUAAGUAACUGUGCACAUCUUGACGGUACCUAAUCAGAAAGCCACGGCUAACUACGUG